AUUGAACGCUGGCGGCAUGCCUUACACAUGCAAGUCGAACGGCAGCACGGGAGCAAUCCUGGUGGCGAGUGGCGAACGGGUGAGUAAAGUAUCGGAACGUGCCCAGUCGUGGGGGAUAACGUAGCGAAAGUUACGCUAAUACCGCAUACGAUCUAUGGAUGAAAGCGGGGGAUCGCAAGACCUCGCGCGAUUGGAGCGGCCGAUAUCAGAUUAGGUAGUUGGUGGGGUAAGGGCUCACCAAGCCGACGAUCAGCAGCUGGUCUGAGAGGACGACCAGCCACACUGGGACUGAGACACGGCCCAGACUCCUACGGGAGGCAGCAGUGGGGAAUUUUGGACAAUGGGCGCAAGCCUGAUCCAGCCAUGCCGCGUGCAGGAUGAAGGCCUUCGGGUUGUAAACUGCUUUUGUACGGAACGAAAAGGUUUGACUUAAUACGUUGGACUCAUGACGGUACCGUAAGAAUAAGCACCGGCUAACUACGUGCCAGCCGCCGCCGUAA
rnacentral:rRNA from 1 species